AAUAUUGGACAUUGGGCGAAAGCCUGAUCCAGCCAUGCCGCGUGUGUGAAGAAGGUCUUCGGAUUGAAAAGUACUUUAAGUGGGGAGGAAGGGACGUAGAUUAAUGUUCUGAAAUUUUGACGUUACCAACAGAAUAAGAACCGGCUAACUCCGUGACAGAAGCCGCGGUAAUACGAAGGGUGCAAGCUUUAAUCGGAAUUACUGGGCGUAAAGCGCGCGUAGGUGGUUUGUCAAGUUAGAAGUGAAAGCACCGGGCUCAACCUGGGAACUGCUUUCAAAACUGGCAAGCUAGAGUAUGGCAGAGGGUGGUGGAAUGUCCUGUGUAGCGGUGAGAUGCGUAGAUAUAGGAAGGAUCAUCAGUGGCGAAGGCGACCACCUGGGCUAAUACUGACACUGAGGUGCGAAAGCAUGGGGAGCAAACAGG
rnacentral:rRNA from 1 species